rfam:Colletotrichum sublineola strain TX430BB Scaffolds1499.1, whole genome shotgun sequence.
GGCCGUUUAGCUUAAUGGCAGAGCGUACCUCUGACCAUAUCCUGAACGGCGAAUAGUGAAGGUGAAGGUCUGGGUUUGAAUCCCGGUGCGGCCC